rnacentral:rRNA from 1 species
AGAGGAAGUAAAAGUCGUAACAAGGUUUCCGUAGGUGAACCUGCGGAAGGAUCAUUAAUGAACAAGUACGCGCGGGGGAGGGUUGUGCUGGCGCGUCCGCGCGCACGUGCACGCCCGCCCUCGUCGUCCGUCCACUCACACCUGUGCACUUUGCUCGUCGGGUCGAGGGCCCUCUUUGGUGGGGCGCCCUUGGCCGACGCACUUUUCACACAACCUGUCUUAACCGGAUGUCAAUUGCGUAAACGCAACCGAAAAACAACUUUUAACAACGGAUCUCUUGGUUCUCGCAUCGAUGAAGAACGCAGCGAAAUGCGAUAAGUAAUGUGAAUUGCAGAAUUCAGUGAAUCAUCGAAUCUUUGAACGCACCUUGCGCUCCUUGGUAUUCCGAGGAGCAUGCCCGUUUGAGUGUCGUGAUAUCAUCAAGCCGACCCCUCCUUUGCUGGUGGGGGUUGCGCUUGGACUUGGAUGUGCUGCCGGACGGCGACGCCCGGCUCAUCCCAAACGCAUUAGCUGGAUUUAUUCCUGGCUUGGACUUUUGUUCUCACUCGGCGUGAUAAUGUCACCCGUCGAGGACGUCCCUCGCCUCACGGACCGGCUUCCAACCGUCCCCUCGUGGACAAAUCACUUUGACAAUCUGACCUCAAAUCGGGUAGGACUACCCGCUGAACUUAAGCAUAUCAAUA